AGCAUGGCCACAGUCACAUCACUGAAACAAGUAAAAGUGAGUAAAAGAGUAAAUAAAUGAAGAGAAAGUGUUAGUGACAGGAAGAGCAUCCAGUCAUUGAAUAAUAUAUUACCUUGAGAAUUUUCGAGUGCAGCCCCCUCUUGCUUGUAUGGGAAAAAUAAAGGUAAACAUAAAAUCAUGUUUGAUGGUGACAUCAUUGUUAUUGCUUCUGUCAUCCUCCUCCUCCUUCUCUUCCUCUUCCUUCUCCUCCUCCUCUUCUCCUCAUCAUCAUCAUCAUCAUCAUCAUCAUCGUGCUGAUUGUAAGGAUGGUGAAUAAACUUGGUUGGUAUUUUAUUUUUCACCGAAGACAAUAUGCCAUGAUUUAAAUCAGUCAGCAGCCAAUGCUACUGUUGCUUACUACUACUACUACUACUACCACCACCGCUACUACUACUAGCAUCACUACUGCUACUGCUGCUGUUGCUUUCUAUGAUAACCUCAUUAAACACCAAAACUAACGAGAUAUUGUUAUCAAAGCCUAAUGAAUGACGAUAAUGAUGAUGACAACGACGACAACGAUGAUGACAAUGACAAAGAUGACGAUGAUGAUGAUAACGAUGAUGAUGAUGAUAAUGAUGACGAUGGUGACGAUGAUGAUGAUGAUGAUGAUGACGGUGAUGAUGGAAACACUUGUUAGUAACUAGGACAGAUUCAAAAAAAAAAGUCAGAUAAACAACUAAACGAAAAAGAAAGAAAGAAGGAAAGAAAGAAAGAAAGUCAGAAUGACAGAAUGACAAACAGACAGACAAAUUACUU